rnacentral:miRNA from 1 species
GCAGACACAUUCCAGCCAAUCAGCAGCAGACCCUCCCUCCCAGACCUUCCCACCUCAUGGACAGCAUCCAUUUUACAUUCAUUGUGAAGCUGCAUUCUUAGUGAGCUGUCCAGGAGGUGGGAGGGUCUGGGAGGGAGGGUCUGCUGCUGAUUGGCUGGAAUGUGUCUG